rnacentral:lncRNA from 1 species
GGAAAGGACAAAUACUUCAUGCCAGACUUCGGAUGGAUUGUAGCAAUCUGAACGAACAUUUAUUUAAGAGAAAUCUUGUAGAAAGUAAAAACUGUACCUGUGGUAGAAUCGAGAGCAGUAAGCAUUUUCUCCUCGAGUGUAAUAAUUACUCCCUUGUCCGAAAACGUACGAUAGAAAAAAUUCCCUUCCCAUACAAUAUAGAAACACUCCUAUUUGGCUGCAAUAACCUCAAUCAAGAGGAAAAUGUACUCGUGUUUAAACAAGUGCAACAAUUUUUGGUAGAUUCGAAGCGUUUUGGCUAAUAGCGUCGUUCGUGCAUGACAAAGAUCGUAAUUGGGUGAGACAGUCUUGACAAAGUCCUGUAAACACACUCCGCCGCCGG